UACGUAGGGGGCGAGCGUUGUCCGGAAUUACUGGGCGUAAAGGGUGCGUAGGCGGCAGACUAAGUCUUGUGUGAAAUACCCGGGCUCAACCUGGGGGUUGCAUGGGAAACUGGACUGCUUGAGUACAGGAGAGGCAAGCGGAAUUCCUAGUGUAGCGGUGAAAUGCGUAGAUAUUAGGAGGAACACCAGUGGCGAAGGCGGCUUGCUGGACUGAAACUGACGCUGAGGCACGAAAGCGUGGGGAGCAAAC
rnacentral:rRNA from 1 species